rnacentral:rRNA from 1 species
GAUGAACGCUAGCGGGAGGCUUAACACAUGCAAGUCGAGGGGCAGCAUGGUGUAGCAAUACACUGAUGGCGACCGGCAGACGGGUGAGUAACGCGUAUGUAACCUACCCUGUACAGGGGGAUAACCCGGAGAAAUUCGGACUAAUAUCCCAUAAUGUUAUAAGAUGGCAUCUGAUUAUAAUUAAAGUUCCGGCGGUACGGGAUGGGCAUGCGCAACAUUAGCUAGUUGGCAGGGUAACGGCCUACCAAGGCUACGAUGUUUAGGGGACCUGAGAGGGUGAUCCCCCACACUGGUACUGAGACACGGACCAGACUCCUACGGGAGGCUG